UUGCGGUUAAAAAGCUCGUAGUUGGAUUUCUGUUGAGGAUGGCCGGUCCGCACUAUGUGCGUGUAUCUGGUUCAGCCUCGGCAUCCUCUCGAAAGCCGUUGCUGCGCUUGAUUGCGUGGCUCGGAAUUCGGGACUUUUACUUUGAGGAAAUUAGAGUGUUCACGGCAGGCAAGCGCCUUGAAUAUAUUAGCAUGGAAUAAUGUUAUAGGAUUUUGGUCCUAUUUUGUUGGUUUCUAGGGCUGAAAUAAUGAUUAAUAGGGACAAUUGGGGGCAUUCGUAUUAACGCGUCAGAGGUGGAAUUCUUGGAUUGCGUUACGACGAACUACUGCGAAAGCAUUUGCCAAGGAUGUCUUCAUUGAUCAAGAACGAAAGUAAGGGGAUCGAAGAUGAUUAGAUACCGUCGUAGUCUUUAC
rnacentral:rRNA from 1 species